GCCUGGGUGGCUCAGUCGGUUGAGCGUCUGACUUCAACUCAGGUCAUGAUCUCAUGGUCCGUGAGUUCGAGCCCCGUGUCAGGCU
rnacentral:tRNA from 1 species